rnacentral:snRNA from 1 species
CUCCGUGAAUCGGAGGCGGGG